GACAAAGACGAAUCAAACGAGGAAGGUCAAGCGAUCUGGCACGAUAAAGCAAAGAAGGAACGAAAAUAAUGUGCAUUCAGAGAAAAUAAUAUUUAUAUACUUUUAUGAAUUUAUAACAAAGAAAUUUGUAAGUAAAAUCUCUUAAAUAGUAUAUUCUCGUUCUAGCUAUUUCUUGAUUCCAUAUAUGAUUUUUAACUAGUGAAUGUUAUUCACAAAAUUUCUUUAUUAAAAAUCGACACUGAUCGGCACGAACGAUA